UGGGGAAUAUUGCACAAUGGAGGGAACUCUGAUGCAGCGACGCCGCGUGAGUGAAGAAGUAUUUCGGUAUGUAAAGCUCUAUCAGUAGGGAAGAUAAUGACGGUACCUACAUAAGAAGCCCCGGCUAAAUACGUGCCAGCAGCCGCGGUAAUACGUAUGGGGCAAGCGUUAUCCGGAUUUACUGGGUGUAAAGGGAGCGUAGGCGGCAGUACAAGUCGGGAGUGAAAACUCGGGGCUCAACCCCGAGACUGCUCUCGAAACUGUACAGCUAGAAUGCAGGAAGGGCAGGCGGAAUUCCUGGUGUAGCGGUGAAAUGCGUAGAUAUAUGGAGGAACACCGGUGGCGAAAGCGGCUCUCUGGUCUGUAACUGACGCUGAGGCUCGAAAGCGUGGGGAGCGAACAGG
rnacentral:rRNA from 1 species